CCUACGGGGUGGCUGCAGUGGGGAAUAUUGGACAAUGGGCGAAAGCCUGAUCCAGCCAUGCCGCGUGUGUGAAGAAGGCCUUCGGGUUGUAAAGCACUUUCAGUGGGGAAGAAAGCCUUGGGGCUAAUACCCUCGAGGAAGGACAUCACCCACAGAAGAAGCACCGGCUAACUCCGUGCCAGCAGCCGCGGUAAUACGGAGGGUGCGAGCGUUAAUCGGAAUUACUGGGCGUAAAGCGCGCGUAGGCGGUCUGAUAAGCCGGUUGUGAAAGCCCCGGGCUCAACCUGGGAACGGCAUCCGGAACUGUCAGGCUAGAGUGCAGGAGAGGAAGGGAGAAUUCCCGGUGUAGCGGUGAAAUGCGUAGAGAUCGGGAGGAAUACCAGUGGCGAAGGCGGCCUUCUGGACUGACACUGACGCUGAGGUGCGAAAGCGUGGGUAGCAAACAGGAUUAGAUACCCUGGUAGUC
rnacentral:rRNA from 1 species